GAUGAACGCUGGCGGCGUGCUUAACACAUGCAAGUCGAACGGUGAACGAGGGAGCUUGCUCCCUCCGGAUCAGUGGCGAACGGGUGAGUAACACGUGAGCAAUCUGCCCUGGACUCUGGGAUAAGCGUUGGAAACGACGUCUAAUACCGGAUACGAGGCGUGGGGGCAUCCCCAACGCCUGGAAAGAACUUCGGUCCAGGAUGAGCUCGCGGCCUAUCAGCUAGUUGGUGAGGUAACGGCUCACCAAGGCGACGACUGGUAGCCGGCCUGGGAGGGUGACCGGCCACACUGGGACUGAGACACGGCCCAGACUCCUACGGGAGGCAGCAGUGGGGAAUAUUGCACAAUGGGCGCAAGCCUGAUGCAGCAACGCCGCGUGAGGGACGACGGCCUUCGGGUUGUAAACCUCUUUUAGCAGGGAAGAAGCGAAAGUGGCGGUACCUGCAGAAAAAGCACCGGCUAACUACGUGCCAGCAGCCGCAGUAAAAC
rnacentral:rRNA from 1 species